GUCCACGCCGUAAACGAUGAGAACUAGGUGUUGCGGGUAUUGACCCCUGCAGUGCCGCAGCUAACGCAUUAAGUUCUCCGCCUGGGAAGUACGGUCGCAAGACUAAAACUCAAAGGAAUUGACGGGGCCCGCACAAGCGGUGGAGCAUGUGGUUUAAUUCGACGCAACGCGCAGAACCUUACCUGGGCUUGACAUCUGUGGAAUCUUGGGGAAACUCAGGAGUGCCUUCGGGAGCCACAAGACAGGUGCUGCAUGGCUGUCGU
rnacentral:rRNA from 1 species